rnacentral:rRNA from 1 species
UACGGGGGGGGCGAGCGUUGUUCGGAAUCACUGGGCGUAAAGGGCGCGUAGGCGGCCCGCACAAGUCUGCGGUGAAAACCCCCGGCUUAACCGGGGGCCGGCCGUGGAAACUGUUGGGCUGGAGGCUGGGAGAGGGCAGCGGAAUUCCCGGUGUAGCGGUGAAAUGCGUAGAUAUUGGGAGGAACACCAGUGGCGAAGGCGGCUCACUGGACCGGUUCUGACGCUGAGGCGCGAAAGCGUGGGGAGCAAACGGG